rnacentral:misc_RNA from 1 species
AUCUUUUUAAUUACUCAUUUCAAGUAACAAAUAAAAAAGGGUGGGUUUUAAAUACACGCGCGAAAAAGAUCGCGCAGAAUUGAUAAUGAUCCUUCCGCAGGUUCACCUACGGAAA